GUCAAACAAAUGCACACAUGUUCAUAAGUAUACUGAGACAGCUAGAUCAUUGUAAUUCUAGUAGAUUCUUCUAACAGGAGUUGUCUCGACAUGCCCAUGGCAGUGUUUUAGUGUUGACCUGUAGGGGGAGACAGUCGCACAAACAUUCAGUGGAAGACACCCAAUUAAUUCCUCUUCUCUGCCUGUAAAUCUGAAGUGACAGCUACAACUGAACUUUGGAAAUACUGCAGAUUUUGUCCUGACUUUUGAAAGAAGAUCAGCUCAAUGUAAGUACAGAGAGCGGGAGUAAAUACAGCGGCCAGUAACUCAUCCAAAGUAACUCUGAGUGGGUAGGAACUAAAGUACACUUGAAAAUUGAAACAAGUCUCAUUAAUCAACUAUAAGGAAUGGACACAUUUAUAGCAGAAUAGAAAGGUUCUGCAAAAUCACAUUGCAUCUCAUGUCAUUGCUGCUGACCCUACCAAAGUCAAUAUCAAGGAGAGCUGCAUUGGCCCCUUCUACCAGAAUUUUCUUUGGAGGACCAUGAAGAGCUUCGUACAUGUAAUAGACACCGUCUCUCACCAUCGGCCGCAAUCUCUCAGCGUAGUCCUGCAAAAGAGAAGUGGUGGCUGUGGCUCAGUGGUACAGUUGGACGUCUCUGUAUUGCAAGGUUGGCGGCCCGAUCCCAGCUUCUGCUGUCUUCAAUCAAAGUGUCCUCGGGCAAGACACUGAGUCCCAAACUGCUCAUGUCAGUGGUGUGUGAGUGCACAUGAAUGGGAUUAGUCAAUAUUGGUGAUCCCCUCCCAUAGCAUCCUUCAUCUACAAUCAGUGUAUGAAUGUGGUGUGAAUGACUGAAUGUGAGGGGUAGUUUUAAAGUGCUUUCAGAGGUCGGUAAGACUAGAUACUUACUAUGUAUAUAAGCACAGAUCCAUUUACCAUCAGUUCUAUUCUAAGCUUUUUAGUUGUGGUUGGAUGCACUGACAGUGGUUCCUUGCAUACUGGUCUUAAAUGUCUACCUUGAGUUUUUUCAGUUGGUCCUCAACAUCAACUGUCAAGGCUGGAUACAUGGAUUGAUACUGGUGGACAAGGUUCUUGAAUCUGAAAGACGAGGAUAGCAUGAGUCAUGUUUCAACAAUUAACUUCAGUGUUUGAUCAGUGUUCCUUCAUUUCUCACCUCAUAGAAAAGUCCUUGAAGUCACCCAGCAGGUCACAUACACGUAGGCCAGUGCGUGACGCUUUGCUGGAGUAUGCCGGUCCGAUGCCCUUUUUGGUUGUUCCGAUACUUUAUUAUAAAACACAAACAAAAUAAAG